rnacentral:rRNA from 1 species
GACGAACCGUGCGAACGUUGUUCGGAAUCACUGGGCUUAAAGGGCGCGUAGGCGGACUGCCAAGUCCGGGGUGAAAUCCUCCGGCUUAACCGGAGAAUUGCCUGGGAUACUGGCGGUCUUGAGGGAGGUAGGGGCACGCGGAACUUCCGGUGGAGCGGUGAAAUGCGUUGAUAUCGGAAGGAACGCCGGUGGCGAAAGCGGCGUGCUGGCCCUCUUCUGACGCCUGAGGCGACGCA